GGUCAUAGCUCAAUGGUAGAGGACAUGCUUUGCAUGCAGGAUGUCCCAGGUUAAAUCCCUGGCAUCUCCA
rnacentral:tRNA from 1 species